rnacentral:rRNA from 1 species
UUUCGGUUGUCGAUGGGGAUGCGUUCCAUUAGGCAGUUGGCGGGGUAACGGCCCACCAAACCUACGAUGGAUAGGGGUUCUGAGAGGAAGGUCCCCCACAUUGGAACUGAGACACGGUCCAAACUCCUACGGGAGGCAGCAGUGAGGAAUAUUGGUCAAUGGGCGAGAGUCUGAACCAGCCAAGUAGCGUGAAGGAUGACUGCCCUAUGGGUUGUAAACUUCUUUUAUACGGGAAUAAAGUGAGCCACGUGUGGCUUUUUGUAUGUACCGUAUGAAUAAAGAUCGGCUAACUCCGUGCCAGCAGCCGCGGUAAUACGGAGGAUUCGAGCGUUAUCCGGAUUUAUUGGGUUUAAAAGGGAGCGUAGGCGGGUUGUUAAGUCAGUUGUGAAAGUUUGCGGCUCAACCGUAAAAUUGCAUU